rnacentral:rRNA from 1 species
UACGAAGGGGGCUAGCGUUGCUCGGAAUCACUGGGCGUAAAGCGCACGUAGGCGGAUCGUUAAGUCAGGGGUGAAAUCCUGGAGCUCAACUCCAGAACUGCCUUUGAUACUGGCGACCUUGAGUUCGGGAGAGGUGAGUGGAACUGCGAGUGUAGAGGUGAAAUUCGUAGAUAUUCGCAAAGAACACCAGUGGCGAAGGCGGCUCACUGGCCCG